rnacentral:rRNA from 1 species
CCUACGGGAGGCAGCAGUAGGGAAUCUUCCACAAUGGGCGAAAGCCUGAUGGAGCAACGCCGCGUGAGUGAAGAAGGUCUUCGGAUCGUAAAACUCUGUUGUUAGAGAAGAAAGUGCGUGAGAGUAACUGUUCACGUAUCGACGGUAUCUAAACAGAAAGCCACGGCUAACUACGUGCCAGCAGCCGCGGUAAUACGUAGGUGGCAAGCGUUAUUCGGAUUUAUUGGGCGUAAAGGGAACGCAGGCGGUCUGUUAAGUGUGAUGUGAAAGCCUUCGGCUUAACCGGAGUAGUGCAUUGGAUACUGGGAGACUUGAGUGCAGAAGAGGAGAGUGGAAUU